rnacentral:rRNA from 1 species
GUGAGGAAUUUUCCGCAAUGGGCGAAAGCCUGACGGAGCAAUGCCGCGUGAAGGAUGAAGGCCUAUGGGUUGUAAACUUCUUUUCUCAGAAAAGAAUUAUGACGGUAUCUGAGGAAUAAGCAUCGGCUAACUCUGUGCCAGCAGCCGCGGUAUGACAGAGGAUGCAAGCGUUAUCCGGAAUGAUUGGGCGUAAAGCGUCUGUAGGUUGUUUAAAAAGUAUUCUGUCAAAGAUUAGGGCUUAACCCUAGAUAGGCAGAAUAAACUUUUAAGCUAGAGUUUGGUAGAGGCAGAGGGAAUUCCCGGUGGAGCGGUGAAAUGCGUAGAUAUCGGGAGGAACACCAAAGGCGAAGGCACUCUGCUGGGCCAAUACUAACACUGAGAGACGAAAGCGAGGGGAGCAAAUGGGAUUAGAAACCCGGGUAGUCC